AACAUUUUGUUUUAAGUUUGACACAUGUAACGAGUGAAAAAAAGUUUUGGUGUUUCCAUUUAGUGACCCAACACGCGACGAAUACGUUGAGGGGAACUAGUACCACAUCAACAAGAUGUUUCCAUUCCUAAUCUUUAGAAGAAAAACACACCUUAUUAUAAGGGUCUUCAACAAGCUUUAAUGUUUACAGUUCGAGGCUUACAAAAAAUUUCAACCUAUUCACGUCCGUGCACUAAGUCCCAUACUUUUAAAACACAAAAGUUUAUUUCUCCAUAAUUCUACCAUAUAUCUGAAUUAUUUCACUAAAAAAUAGUCUAAGUGUUUUUUUUUAAACAUUUGUUACUCCUUAACAAAACUUGUUUUUUUAAUCGAAAUAACACUAUUAUGUGAAAUGGAGAAAAUCCACAUAAGUAUGUCGCACAGCCCUAGUACACCUAAGAGAGUGUGGAAAAUUAGCCUUGAGUACUAAGACAACCCAACGAGUGAAACUAGAGUCAUUGUUUAAGAAUUCUUUUUUUUUUAUAAUUGUGACCUUCAGAAAAUUCACAACGUUUUCAUACAAUCAUAACUGCCAAAACAACAUCUUUAAAUCAUCAACUUACUAAGUGUCCUCAUACUUUCUGAAGUUUCUUAACAUAGGAAUGUUCUUCGGAACACAUACUUGGCGACGCUUUUAGAUAAUAGAUUGACCGAGGAUUUUUGUAACUGCAACCUCACGGGAUUUUUUUUACUUUCGUAAACUAAAAAAUACAAAUGAACUCUUUAACCAACGUGUUGCGAAUUGAUACUACAAAAAACAAACCUGUCUCUUUAAGGUAUCAUGUUUUGAUGAAAGAAAUAGAAAAUAAAAAACAACUAAGAAGCACACAUGCUGGAAUGUUCUAUGACGAACGCUUUCCACUAGAGACCAUGGCAACACGUUUUGCAACCAUUUUAAACAGAAAGCAAUUUUGUCAGUUUCAAAAAACGGAUCCAAUCUUAGAGCGUAUUGCAAGAAAUUUACCCUUGAAACCAUUUGAACCUCCACCACCAACAACUACUUAUGACUUUGCUUCGAUUCAAAAACAUUCCUUGCACCGAUCCCUGUACGAGUAUCCUUGUCUCUAUAGAAAAACUCUCAACAAUCUACCAUCUCCACAAAUCCCUUUAGAUUUCGUCGAGUUCCGCGCUCUCAAUGCAUCCUGUAAGUAUUUUCAACCCUAUGAGAUUUUAGAAUUAAAGGCCUACAAAUAUUUUAUUAAUAAGGAGCAUCCUAAACGUAUUUCAGAUUCGUACACUGCGAAACCUCCAGCAGUAGAUCUAAUUUCACGCAACUUACAUGUACCUGCGACGCGUUCGCGCGACUUGGAUUCUCACCUUGAUCGCUUGACUAAUACUAUGAUCAAUUUUUACGCAAUGUAAUCGAUAUAUUUUCUUUUUAUCAAUACCGAUUUUAAAAAAAUUUCAUUAAACCUUCCCAGCACCCAUAAAGAAAAGUCAGUUCAAAAAAUUUAUUUUGCUUUACAUACUAUAUUAAAGAACUCAUCUUUGCCUUACUUUCUAAGACGCUAAAGAGAAAAGUAGUAUGUACGUACCAUUGUUUUGCAUUCAUUAGUAGCGUGUCUCUUUUUAAAGAUGGUAUGAAAACAUUACAACUAAAAGCUCGGAAAAAAAUAAUUUGAAAAAGAAAAAAAUUAACACUGUUUAAGAACUUUGGAUUUUUCAAACCCUCA